CAGGUGUUUGCAAUCAGGGAAAGGGUCAAUAAAUGCCCGGCAACUCCAACCUGCUGUUCUGGUUCUGCUGUGGGACAGGGAGCACCUGAGCUGAAGUUGAACCUAUGGAGGAGAGCCUAUCUGGAGGGCUAAGGGCUCUUCUAAGCAUUGCUACAGUGGUGUUCCUGGAGCUGAAACUAGAGGAGCAGGCAGAGCCACCUCUCAGAGAGAGCCUGUAAUUGCAUUUUUGAUGACUCAAGGCUGGCGUUUGUCUUUUUUGUUGGAUGCUGGCAGAGCCUGGUUCUGCUCCUUGUGCUGUGUGGAUCAGCCAAUGCUGGGAAAGAGGUGAAAUCAUCACAACAGCAUCAAUCUGCCUCGUGCCUGUGAGUUUAGGGACCACAGCAGUGUAAUGUCUCCUUCCUGAACCAAGUUCCUUCAUUCUAUCUGCAGUCUUAUUGCUCUUUUCUCACUUGUACAGUGUACCCAGCAAAGAGCUCCUCCAGCCUUCACUAUGGUGUUGUGGCUAAGCUACAGAAGCCUUGAAAGGAGCUCGUGCUAUCAGCUGAAAAUGAGGUCUCGUUGGUGCUUCCUGAAGGAUGAAAACACCUCUCAGAAGGGUGUGAGCAACCCAGAUACACGGCUCCUUUGCACGCCACGCCAUCAGCACACAAGUUUUGAGGUCUGAUGGUAGAUGAGAGGAAAAUCCCCAGGCUGUUCCACAUAAUCUGGUUGGUGCUAAGUGCAACCUUGUGCCUCUGUGUCAGUUUGUGAUUGCAGCCUCCCACACAUUCCUUUGCAAGUUGGCUCCGUCGCAGCUUCUGCUGCUGCUUCAUGUACUUAGCAAAACAGACCUCGUGUAUGGAGUAACUGUGGACAAACAAGGAGACUUUGGAGGUGUAUUUGUGGUGAUGUGGCAGGAUGGGAUAGGAGGUUUUUAGCUCUUCUGUGAAGGUGUGUGGGGUUUCUAAUUGGGCUUUAUACUCAUUCAGACAGUUGAGGAUGGCUAUCCUGUAUGCUAU
rnacentral:lncRNA from 1 species